GACGAACGCUGGCGGCGUGCCUAAUACAUGCAAGUCGAGCGAACAGAUGAGGAGCUUGCUCCUCUGAUGUUAGCGGCGGAUGGGUGAGUAACACGUGGGCAACCUGCCCUGCAGUUGGGGAUAACUCCGGGAAACCGGGGCUAAUACCGAAUAAUCAGUUCCUUCGCAUGAAGGAACUCUGAAAGACGGCUUCGGCUGUCUCUGCAGGAUGGGCCCGCGGCGCAUUAGCUAGUUGGUGAGGUAACGGCUUACCAAGGCGACGAUGCGUAGCCGACCUGAGAGGGUGAUCGGCCACACUGGGACUGAGACACGGCCCAGACUCCUACGGGAGGCAGCAGUAGGGAAUCUUCCACAAUGGACGGAAGUCUGAUGGAGCAACGCCGCGUGAGCGAAGAAGGUUUUCGGAUCGUAAAGCUCUGUUGUGAGGGAAGAACAAGUAUAGGAGUAACUGCCUGUACCUUGACGGUACCUCAUUAGAAAGCCACGGCUAACUACGUGCCAGCAGCCGCAGUAACAC
rnacentral:rRNA from 1 species